UACGAAGGGUGCAAACGUUGCUCGGAAUUAUUGGGCGUAAAGCGCACGUAGGCGGCAUUGCAAGUCGGAUGUGAAAUCCCUCGGCUUAACCAAGGAAGUGCAUCCGAAACUGCAGUGCUUGAGUACUUAAGAGGAUCGCGGAACUCCCGGUGUAGAGGUGAAAUUCGUAGAUAUCGGGAGGAACACCAGUGGCGAAGGCGGCGAUCUGGGAAGAUACUGACGCUGAGGUGCGAAAGCGUGGGGAGCAAACAGG
rnacentral:rRNA from 1 species